rnacentral:rRNA from 1 species
UACCGAGGUCUCAAGCGUUGUUCGGAUUCAUUGGGCGUAAAGGGUGCGUAGGCGGUGUGGUAAGUCGAAUGUGAAAUCUCGGAGCUCAACUCCGAAACUGCAUUCGAUACUGCCAUACUCGAGGAUUGUAGAGGAGAUCGGAAUUCACGGUGUAGCAGUGAAAUGCGUAGAUAUCGUGAGGAAGACCAGUUGCGAAAGCGGAUCUCUGGGCAACUCCUGACGCUGAGGCACGAAGGCUAGGGGAGCAAACGGG